CGCUCUGGUGGUUUAGUGGUAGAGCGUAGGUCUAGGAUGUGGUAGGUCGUGGGUUCGAACCCCAGCCGAGUCA